UUGCUGUUCGUGUCAGCUACGGACAUGUGUCAAGGCUGUUCCUCCGAACCGAUUUCGGACGGUUUAGGGAGAAAUUUGUAACCCUUUCCGAGUUCCACGACGGUUGUGCUGCUGCAAUUACUAACCCUUCCGAGUUCCGAGAGCUAAGCGCCGCGAAGAUCUAUUUCCAAAAAGGAUUCGGUUUUCAGCUCAAUCGCGAUGCCCCACGUUGGCGGCGCCCCUGCCGGCUGGCGCCAGACGCCGGUGAGUAGGAGGUUGGCGGCAUCCCGAGCGCUCGAGUACGCCAUCCAGAUCGUGUAUGCUGCUUGUUGUUGGUGUGUAAUCCUCACAAGGAAAGGAGAACGUCGAGGCGGCGGGAUAGGGUCGUUCUUGGAUGCCAUGGCUGCGAUCAGUUAUGGGUUCAUGGCGUUCCUUGUGUGGGCAAUCUUUCGGGCAUCCAGGAGAAGCGAAAUCGGAGAGGGUUCGGAUUUGUAAGUAGAUGCUAUCCGGUGUAAACACCUGGCUAGCUCGGUGGUUCAUACUAACCUGUGUUUGUCAAUGAAGUGCUGGUGUUUAUGCAA